UACGUAGGGUGCGAGCGUUGCCCCGGAUUUAUUGGGCGUAAAGGGCGCGCAGGCGGCUACGCACGUCCGUUGUGAAAUCGCUCGGCUCAACUGGGCGGGGUCAGCGGAUACGGCGUGGCUGGAGCAAGCUAGGGGGCAAUGGAAUUCCCGGUGUAGUGGUGGAAUGCGUAGAUAUCGGGAGGAACACCAGUGGCGAAGGCGGUUGCCUGGAGCUUUGCUGACGCUGAGGCGCGAAAGCGUGGGGAGCGAACAGG
rnacentral:rRNA from 1 species